AAUGAACGCUGGCGGCGUGCUUAACACAUGCAAGUCGAACGAGGCUGAGGGGGCAACUCCUCAGUUUAGUGGCGGACGGGUGAGUAACACGUGGGUAACCUGCCCGGAAGUGGGGAAUACCUCGGGGAAACUCGAGCUAAUACCGCAUAACAUCUUCGGGACGAAAGUCCUGACGAUCAAAGCGGGGUCGCAAGAUCUCGCGCUACCGGAUGGGCCCGCGCCCGAUUAGCUAGUUGGUGGGGGUAACGGCNCACCAAGGCUUCGAUCGGUAACCGGCCUGAGAGGGCGAUCGGUCACACCGGAACUGAGACACGGUCCGGACUCCUACGGGAGGCAGCAGUGGGGAAUCUUGCGCAAUGGGCGAAAGCCUGACGCAGCAACGCCGCGUGGAGGAUGAAGGCCCUUGGGUUGUAAACUCCUGUCGGCUGGGAAGAAAUCUUCC
rnacentral:rRNA from 1 species